UAGGGAAUCUUCCGCAAUGGGCGAAAGCCUGACGGAGCAACGCCGCGUGAGUGAUGAAGGUCUUCGGAUCGUAAAACUCUUUUAUUAGGGAAGAACAAAUGUGUAAGUAACUAUGCACGUCUUGACGGUACCUAAUCAGAAAGCCACGGCUAACUACGUGCCAGCAGCCGCGGUAAUACGUAGGUGGCAAGCGUUAUCCGGAAUUAUUGGGCGUAAAGCGCGCGUAGGCGGUUUUUUAAGUCUGAUGUGAAAGCCCACGGCUCAACCGUGGAGGGGCAUUGGAAACUGGAAAACUUGAGUGCAGAAGAGGAAAGGGGAAUUCCAGGUGUAGCGGUGAAAUGCGCAGAGAUAUGGAGGAACACCAAUGGCGAAGGCGACUUUCUGGGCUGUAACUGAAGCUGAUGCGCGAAAGCGUGGGGAUCAAACAGG
rnacentral:rRNA from 1 species